UUUAAUUAAAUAAUUGGUAUUACUAUGAAGACCCGUGCGAGCGUGUGUUUAGUCCCACAUCGUUUAUUCGCUAGGUAGAUCUUGGGUAUUUAUACAGGAUCAAAAACCCAAAUAAUACCUUUUGGUUAGCCUUUUUGGGUGAGAUCAUGGUUGUUACAAAUGGUAUCAGAGCGGACCCGAUCUGUAACCUAUGUGGACUAGGAAACACUACAUCACGGAUCCAUUAGGGCUGAUCACGGGCCGAUCGUAGUGCUUAUGAUUAGAUUUAUAUAGAUUUGAACCUUUAGCCAUUUACGACCUCCAUAAGUUCUGCUUGAAGAACAUACUAAGGUGGAAUGGCAAAGCUACAAGAUCGGGGCUAUAUGGAGAUUUUUGCGGUCAGUCAUUUGAAGAAAGUAAAUGUUGAGAAGCCAAAGAUUUAUUUAAUGGUGCCAUUCUGUUGCUAACUUUGGAAAGAAACCUAGUGAGAGAUUGAAUUCUAUAUUAGUUGAUACUUUCCAAAACGAACCUAGCUAUUUUCAACAUAUAUUUGCACAAAUAAGGAUUGGAAAGAGGACCUUAAUUUAAAUAUUCAGAUAAUUUUUUGAUGUCUUUACCAAUUAGGCGACUCAUUGUGAUGUGCAUUUAGGUUCGCUGUAUGUCUUAAAAUUGGUGCACGGUUGCUGAAGUUAUCUGCUAUUUAGUUUGGCCUGCUAACACCCACCGAAGU
rnacentral:lncRNA from 1 species